rnacentral:rRNA from 1 species
AGCGUUGUCCGGAAUUAUUGGGCGUAAAGCGCGCGCAGGCGGUCCUUUAAGUCUGAUGUGAAAGCCCACGGCUCAACCGUGGAGGGUCAUUGGAAACUGGGGGACUUGAGUGCAGAAGAGGAAAGCGGAAUUCCACGUGUAGCGGUGAAAUGCGUAGAGAUGUGGAGGAACACCAGUGGCGAAGGCGGCUUUCUGGUCUGUAACUGACGCUGAGGCGCGAAAGCGUGGGGAGCAAACAGG